ensembl:lncRNA
CAACUAGUAAUUAUGUUGGAAAGGUCAAAGCAGUGUAACUCAGUGCUACCCUGCAGAUGCCCAGGGACGGGCAUACCAUCAAGAGGGGAGGGUGUAACCCACAUAAAAUGGGGGUACCACUUUAAGGACUGAUAUGAGGAGAGAUGGACAGCCUGCCCAACCAAUCGAAAUGCACAGGUCCCAGUAUGUUUUGACCAAUGGGAGAGCAGUCUGCCGCUGUAUGUCCCACCUACGUGCUCUGUGUUUGCUGCUAUGCGUGGAGGUAGUCGCGUGCUGGCAGGAGAAAAGAGAGACUGAAGCUUUUGAGCUGGAAAAAAAGUAUUAGAUAUAAGUUGCAACCAACUGUGUUGCACAUAAGUUCACUGGUUAUCAGCUACCUUUCAUGUUAAAAGUAGCCACAGUGAGUAAGCAGGCAAAUGCUGCAUUUUUCUGGUGACUUUAAAAAGUACCGCGUGGAGCUAAACUGUUAGCCUUUGUUAGCUCUGGUUGCUAUCAACUGCCUGGAAGUUCAUCUCAAUCUGCUUCCAGAAAGCCCUGCAUUUUCCGACCGAGAGACACUAUGCCAUUGUCUUUGGCCGUGAUGCGCUGAGAUCGGUCAGGUUUUUUUUGUAUGCUGAAUUGUUCCUGAGGUGGAUUCCUCCGGUGAAAUAGAUGGCGAGCCUUCCCACCUGGACUUAGAGAGACUGAGAUUCGCUUCUUUUCCACUUGAUGAUCUGCUGCACCUUGCGGUGUGGUAGGACUGUAUCACUCACACUUUCACGCACAGCUGGUUAUACAUAAGACCACUGACUGACAUUCUUUCAUCCCUAUUUUCUUUCACACCCUAGGAAUUUUUUGGACUUUACCCCUUGGACAUUUUUUAUUUGGGACUUUAAAUAAUGAGCUGUUGUGUAGAGCAUUCUCCACAUGUGAAAAGAGUGUGAGAUUUUCAUUUGAAUGUACAUUGGAUUUGUGUAAUCUGUUUCUAUAAGAGUUAAGGAGUCAGGUUACUAGGGUGCACCCGAGCAUUGAAACCCAAACAUUGAAAACCAAAAAUAACACUUGGCCAAGUCAUUGCUUUAGUAGUUUGUGUUUUACUUUUCUUUUAAUUUUUGUAAGUUUCCUUUCUACCAUUGUAAAGUGUCUUUAACCUGUGCUUGUCAACCUUAUGGUUUAUGUCACUAAAGUUGGCUGGUUCUUUUGAGUUACAUUCUUGUCUCUGUGUCUCAUUUGAACACACCCCUGUGCUCCUAUAGUCGAGCCUAUUGGCCCAUUGAUAUAUUCUUUUCAACAAUUCCCCUUACUGUGUUACA